UAUUUUCCCUCUCUUCUCUUUUUCAUUUCCCUCUUCGUUUUCCCACUUCUUUUUUCCAUUCUCUUACUUUUUCGUAAGAACCCUAAAACCAGCCCAGAAAUCAAAAACCUGAAAUCAAACAAAAAAUCAAAAUCCUAAGCAUCUCUUCGUACGAUAGUUAAGAGAUGGGGUGAACCAACUGCAAGAUCAUCCAUUCUAUUUGAUCAAAGCUCAUCAGUGACUUCUGGUUUUUCUAAUUCUGAUAUUUCCAGCUUGGACAUCAUUCACUCAUUCAAGCAUAUUCAAGCAUAAGUUGACUUGUACAUUGACCUUUGGUUCUGCUUCUUGAUUCAAAUUUUGAAACCAGAUGACUAACAUAAGUGGAGGCGAGAGAGGAAAGGCAAAUCCAAAAAAAGGAAAAUCUAAGUGCUUAGCACCAGGAAAGCUUAUUGGUCAUCGGAAUAGCAUGUUUCACAAGAAAUCUGCAUUUGUCAGUCAUCACCGACUACUACAGCACUGACUCCAUCAACAGCUCAAACUCCAUCGAUGGCUCCGACUCCCUCGUCCACUCCGUCUCACUCGUCCGCUCCAACUCCAUUGCUAGUGCGGGCUGCACCAGUGCCGCGGACUGUACCAAUUCCACGGGCUGCACCGGUGCCGCGGACUGCAUCAAUUCCACGGGCUGCACCGGUGCCGCAGACUGCACCGAUUCCACAGGCUGCACCGAUUCCACAGGAUGCACCGCUGUCACAGGCUACAUCAUUAUCUGCACCUACUCAUUCCUCCAGCUCUGAGGUAUUUAGGUUUAUGCCUACUCCUGGUUUAAACAUUCAAAAUAUGGAUGGCCCUUCAACUCAUGCCUCGCGCGAGAUUCCGAUGGAGGAAAAUGAAGAGGAAAUUGAGGAGGAGGACGAGGAUGAGGUGGUCAUGGGUGAAAAAAAUGUCCCCCCUCAUUUGAUAAUAAGAGAUGAUAAUGGGAAGGUUAUUAUACAACUUCGUGGUACCGGGCUUGUUCCAGGCAAAGAAGUAGCUAAUGCCAUUACUUAUGCGAUACACAAACAGUUUUAUAAGGGUUUCUAUAAUUGGACUGUAGUUGACGAUGAUGUUAGAGAAAAAUGGUUUGCUCUUUUUGCGGCCCUAGAAUGGUCAAUCUGCUAGUGCUGUCAUUCGACCAUCAAAUCCUCACUAUGAUGAUGAUUUAGAUGACCAAUCAUUAAGUGAACAUUGAUUAUGUCGUCUUAGUAAAAGUAGUCUCGGAUGUAUAUUUUUUUGGACAUGAUCUUCAAUGUAUUCCGAGUUUUUGGGGCUGUUUUUUGUUGUAGCUAUGACUACUUUUUUGUUGUUGUUUCAACCUAUGUAAUAUUUGGAUAAUUGUUACUUCAAAUGUGCUAUGUCAAAGCUUUAUAUCUUUUAGCUUCUGAAUUUUAUGUGUCAUUUGCUUAUUAUCUAUAUUUUGUUGCUACUGAAUAUAGUUGUGAUUGAUCUUAAAUCAAAUAUGGUUCAAAAGCUAAUUUUUAUGUUGCUUCAGGAGCUUGACCAUAGCCUCGACUUAACCCAGGCUAAUUAAUUUUAUUGACUUUAGACUCGGCUAGGCCGAAGCUAACUUUUUUUAUUGACUUUUGGAAAUUGACCUUAGCCUCGACAAAUCCCUAGCUAAUUAAAUUUGGGAAGUCUUAUAAUUUAACUUUAGCCUUGGUUAGUUCGAGGCUAAAUAUUUUGUUGUCCUUCAAAGGUUGCUUUUAGCCUCGGCCUGGCCCAUGCUAUUAAUAGCGUUGGCUUCAGGCAAGCCUCGAUUUAGACUCGGCCUAGCCGAGGCUAUAGUAGACACGGCUGAUUUUGGCCGAAGCUAAAUGCUAGCUUCGACUGUUUUAGACUGUCCCGACACCGAGGCUACGCCGAGGCUAAUUGUCUAGUAGCGUCGGUUUUUUGCCUUAUAGCCACGAGGUAUGGCCGAGGCUAAAACCUGUGUUUCUAGUAGUGAUGUGGUGCUUCUUCCGAAGGUUUCUCCAUACUUUCCGUUGUUCUGUUGAAGACUCGUCCACUUCUAGUGACUCGACUUACAUCAGCAAUGUUGACAACAUAUGGAAAUGGUAUUUCCUUACCAUUUUCAAUGAAUGUAGCGUUGUACUUAUAUGGUAUAGCCUUGCUGGACUCAUACGGUACAGGACCUAGUAAGUAGAUGACUAACGGAGCAAUUAGUGUCUUCCUGCUGUCAUACUUGACUUGCAUUGGUUCAACUUGAUUAAUUUGAGAAGAUAUGGUAAAGACUUCGUCAUCUUCUCUGCUGGCAAGAAUUGUAAUGGUAUUUUCAUCCAUUAGUUUCUGAAUGUCGUUGCGAACGCGCAAACAUCCUCGUGAAUUUCUUCGACAAAUUUUGCAUCUACUGUAAGGAUGGAAAUCCGUUCCAAAGUAGGCAAGUCCAUUUAAAGUCUUAUGGAACCUGACUACCGAUCCUUCGAGAUCUUCAACUCUGUAGAUCUUGUAUUCUCCUGGACAUCCUAGAACCAUGUUGAUGUCGUAUUCAGUUUUGACUCGGAUGUGUUGAAUCCACCCUAAGUCCAUUUGUUCUUUUAAUGCAGCUUGAACUACAGCACAUCCUUGAUUAUUCUUUGGACAAAUUUCUCAUGUGAAGUAGUUGUGAGGUGGCACAUGGUUGUACCCACCUUGUCUAGCGUGCAUUUUGACGAGAUUUUCCCCUAUCUGACGGAUGCCGUAGAUUUGAAUGACAUUGGGGUGCUGAUCUAUCAGAUUUACUGAGGCUUCUUUAUGCUGCGGCAAAGGAUUUUCCUGGACGUCAGGAUUAGUAUCUUCGAAGGAUAGAAUUCUGCUCUUCACUUAUCUUUGAACAUCGACCUUGAAUGGGAAAUAGUUCUCAAUGUUAUGACCUGGUGCCCCCUGAUGAUAGGGACAAGAUUGGUCAGCCUUAAACCAUGGUGAAGAACUUUUUGCAGGAUUUGGAGGGCUCCUUGUCUGAAUGAGUCCUUUUGCCAGUAGUGUUGGAAACAAUUCCACAUACGGCAUUGGUACGGGGUCAAAGGCAGGAUACCUUGGCACCCGAUUGUUGUAAUUUGGAAGUCGAACCUGUUGCUGAGGUUGUUGCGACCUUUGUUGAAAUGGUUGUUGCGAAACCUGAGGUUGAUAAGCUGGCGCCGAGUUAACAACCGGAGUUAUUGUAGCAACUUGAGGUGGAAACUUAUUUCUUGCUUUGUGCAAGACAUUGCUGACAUCUUGAUCCUUUUUCUUUGGGAAAGAACUUCCAUACUUCUUAGGACCAAUAUAAGAUUCUGGUUCUUUGUUCAAGCGUCCUUCUCAAACUGCUUCUUCUAAACGUACGCCCAUGUUUACCAUCUCGGUAAAGUCACUUGGAGCACUGGCGACCAUUCGUCCGUAGUAAAAUGGACUCAAAGUCUUGAGAUAGAUUUUUGUCAUUUGUUUCUCUUCAAGUGGAGGACAAAUUUGAGCAGCAACAUCACGCCAUCUCUGAGCGUAUUCCUUGAAGCUCUCUCUAUCCUUUUGAGUCAUGGCCCGGAGUUGAUCUCUGUCGGGAGCCAUAUCCAGAUUGUACUUAUACUGUUUGACGAAGGCCUCUCCGAGGUCUCGAAAAGUACGAAUCUCUGAACUGUCCAAGUUCAUGUACCAUUUGAGUGCAGCACCAGUCAGGCUGUCCUGAAAAUAAUGAAUGAGCAAUUGUUGAUUAUCAGUCUUAGUUGACAUUCUUCGAACGUACAUCACGGGGUGACUUUGUGGUCAUGUAUUCCCAUUGUACUUCUCGAAAUCUGGUACUUUGAAUUUGUGAGGAAUCUUAACAUUUGGAACCAGAUAGAGGUUUGCAGCGUUCUUUCCAAAUAGAUCUUGUCCUCGAAGAGUCUUGAGUUCCUUAUGCAUUUGUAGAAACUGUUCCUGGAACUCGUCCAAUCUUUCAUACACGCCAGCAUCCUCACUAGGAGCGUGAUGAUACACUUGUUCGCCCGGCGGAGGAAAAGUAUGCACAAACGGCCGUGGAGAAGCCAUGACAGCAGAUCUUGGUAUCUCAGCAUUCUGUUGCGCGUAACCUAUUACUGUCGCUCUUGGAACUUCAAUUUACAGAGGUCUGUAACCCUCCGGUGGAUGCAUAUCCAUCGUUACUCUUGGAACUUCAGAAACUGGGGGUAUGUACCCUUCUAGAGUAAAGUUAUACGGUAUGCCCCAAGGUCGGUUAGGUGGCAUGGUAUAUUGAGGAUUAGGAGUAGAAACAAUCUCGGAAACCACAGUCCUUUGUGGUUCUUCUGGCGUUGGUUGAUUCUGUGCAACCACCAGGGCUUCUACCAUACUAUUGAGCCUUUCAACAACAUCUUUGAGAGUAGUAACCUCUUCUCUGAGUUCUCCAUUCUCUUGCUCUAAGUCGUCCAUUCUUUUCUUGCGACUUGAACGAGUGUUGUAUGAAUGAGACAGCUUGAAUGCCUUUGUUUUUCACCUCCUUCUCCUCAUUUCUUUCUGGAGAAAGGAAAGUGACAAUUAGAUCCGCGACAAUUCUCGUGUCAGUGCGUACGACUAAAGCGAUGCAUGAUAUGCAAUGAAGUUAAUAUUUUUCAAGGAAACACCAUAAUUACGUUAUGAAACAUCAAAAUUUUUAUUAAUUAAGCGAAAACGCCGUUUUUACACACUUUGAAAAGGGAAAUACAUAGAAACAGAGAGAAAGGACUCUAAAACUUUGACGAAGAGUCGACUUCACGUUCUAACAUUUUCUUCUGUUUCUUGAGCUGAGCGUUCUCUGACGUAAGCUGAUCGAUGAUCCAGGAAGCAGGAGGGAUAUGAUGAGAAAGUGACGUUUGUGUCACUUGUCGAUCGAUUACUUCAAGCAACUCAUCCUUCCUUCUUAGGAUGUUCUGAAUCUCAACAUUUUCCGUGUUGACGAUUCGAUACUUGUUUCUCCAAACAUUCCUUUCUUCACACACCUUGUUUAAUGCUGCUUGCCGUUUCUCAACAUCGGUGGAGAAAAGGAAGAUUGGUUCCCUUAGGGGAAUAGGUUCUUGACGCUGAUAUUCCAUCCUGAGCUUGAAUGCCCUGACGCGUACCCAUUGAAGGUAAGGAUCCAGGAAGAUGCAAAGAUGUUUUCCUAACAAACUUCUCUCUUUUGUGUGAACAAGAUGCCAGGCUUGGACAAUUUCCUUCUUCAUCAUGUUUCCAUGGUCGUCGAUGUUCUUGAAGAACAGACCUUCCAAUUGAAUAAUACUUGGUAUGUUUUUCAUGGGAUAACCGUAUUGACGACGGGCUAAAGCUGGAUUAUAACGGAUUCCUCCCUUAGUUCCAAUAAGGGGUACGUUGGGAUAACUUCCACAACUGAAGAUGAUCUUGGUUUCGUUGUUGUCAGGACUACACCAAUCAAUGUCCGAAUGAGUGAGGAACAUGAAUUUCUGUGACCAGUGAGGGCCAUCCCUCAUGUUCCAGAAAGUGCUAGACUUUGGCAGGUGCGAGACGAACCAUUCGUAUAACAAUGGUAUGCAACAUCUGAUUAAUCCUCCUCGCUGCAGGUUUCUUGAAUGCACUGAGUGGUAAGCAUCCGCAAGCAAGGUUGGAACUGGAUUUCCAAUCAAGAAGAUCUUAAUUACGUUGAUGUCAACGAAAUCGUCAAUGUUAGGAAACAAAAACAAUUCGUAGAUAAGAAAUGCCAAGAUUUCCUCAAGAGCGCUCAUAUGUUGGAUGCUGACAAAGUACCGAGCUUGAUCUAACAAGAACAUGGAGGGAAAUCCUUGAAUUCCUCCUUUUCUCACCAUAUGAGUUCUGAUGUCGACUACGUUCAAGGGAGUAGUUGCAGCAAUGAUAAUGUCGUCAGGAUUCUUUUACAAACCAGAGUACGCAUCUUGCGCGUAUACGAGUAUUCCAACCAGACGAGAGUACUCCUCCAGCUUAGGCAUGAGUUGAUAAUCUGGAAAGGUAAAGCAGUGAUACGUUGGAUCGUAAAACUGUACCAAUGUGGGAAGGAUCCCAUCCACAAUGUUGGUGCUGAGAAGAGGCAGAAGUUUUCCAUACUUCUCCUUGAAAGCCUGGGGGUUGACCACCAGUUUUCCGAGCUUUUCCAAUUCCUCGACCUUAGGAAUCUUGAAGGUGUAUUUCCUAGCUCUCUUUCUUCCGUAAUCCAUGGUAUAGAUCCUUAAGUCCUUUCUCCGUUUCUCUCUUUCUAUGAAGUUCAAAACGUUCGUUAUUUAGUUUCCUUGAAAAACGACUCGAAAGAGACUCUUUGUUUUUAUUAUUAUGAUGAAUGUAUGAAUGCAUGAUUGCACACACAAGAGUUUUUAACAAACAUGGCGUAGAAGGGUAUAGUGGUCAUGGAGUCACAACGCAAACCUCGCCCCAGGGUAAACUAUGGAUAAGGAUUUUUGUACCUGUAGAACGGGCUCUAGGAGAGUUUUCUCUGAGUGUAGUAUCUGCGUGACAAUUACUUUUGUAAUCACUGCUUUACGUCCUAAAAAAGGCUUUAAGUGGGGUUAAUGUGUUUCUAGGUCCUCCUGGUACAAAUCAGUCUCGGAACGCAUUGGCGCAGUUAAUCACAACCAUCCAGGCAAAUCCCAAGAGUAGAUUUGGGAACCAAGAUUAGAGGGCCUUCACCAAGAAGACAUCCUCCAUCCUAUCUUAUGUUGCACUCAAAUCCGGGUAUAGGAUUUCUCACCACAAGGGGGAAUCAAGCCCUUUCCCGAUACAGAACAUAAAAAUAUAAACAAGUAUAAAUGCAGCAAACACAUGAAAUGACAAAUAGUUUAGGCAGGACCUCUCUUGUUUGAGGGGGAAUUUGGCAUCCCUAAUUCCUCAUUGGGGGCUGGACCAGCACAGGUCAACCAUUGGUUUGGAUGAAAAACCAAGGUUAUUACUUUCCCCAGCAAAGUCACCAUUUUUCUGUGGUGUCUUUUUUUUUACCUCCCCGUUUCACUUGGGAGGACGGCACGCUAGACCCUUCACGCGAAAUUUGGAAGGACAAUGCGCCCGGGGUGGGAUGAAUUUUGUUUCGGUUCUUUCUACGAUAACACACGAACUUUUUAAUUAUCCUACGAGGAGAAAGGGGAAAAAGAUCUCAAAUAAACCCUAGGAGUUUGCUAAGUGUGGGGAUUCACCUAGACUAGAAAUUCUGGAGUCCGAGAGGUCGGUUAUACAUAGGGAAAGUUUUAAGCACCCUAUAUAUCCGUAGUACUCUACGGGAACCUUCUCUGUGUGUAUGUGUUUGUGUUUGUUGCUAUUUGAUUGUGAAAGUUUCUCUUUUGUGUUAGCAAGGAAAAUUGAAUUGAAUUAAAAGAAAGACAGACAGACAGACUAUUUUUGGUUUUUUAUUAGCUCGCUGAGAUUCCUUGUGAACCUCAUGCCUACAUAUCCCUAAUGGAAGUUAGAGCUUUUUGUAGUUCGGAGAACUAAUUAGGGAAAUUAAUUAUUUUUGGUGCCUUGCUUGAAGCUCAAGGUUGAAGCUUGAAUUAAAUCUCUGUUUACAGUAAAGAGACAUAAAGUCAUCUUUACAGAGAGGUAUUUCUACUAUCCCACCACAAACAUUAAAGGAGUGACAGAAAAGUUGAAUUCAUUUCAUUCAAGAGGGGGACCUUACUUGUGUAUGUGCAAGUAUACCAGUCAACUGCGUCUUGAAUGAAAGAAAGGUGCUCAACCAAAUUAGGGAAAGUUACACAUGCCUAGGUUUACUUGCCAGAGCAUGUCUUUCAAAAUCCUAAAUGGGAGACAUAUUAAAAUUAAAAUGUAAUAUAGUGUUUGUUUGUUGGAAUGUGGUGAGAUAGGAGAAAGAUCUCUCUAUAGAGAUAAGCUAUACCUAUCUACUGUAUAAAUGAUUUGACUUUAGCUGGCUUGUAUGAGGCCCAAGCUUGAGGCUUUUGGAUUGAUUUUAUUGACUCUGGGAGAUGACUCCACUGGGGGAUUAACUUAAACUAAAAGGUUUUGGUGUUCUGUACAAAGCGCAGAAUUGAGGCUGACUCUAGUUGGAGAGUGUUUAUUUGAUGGAUUUUAUUUGGUGUUCUGUACAAAACCCAGAAUUGUGGCUGACUCUUAAUUGGGGAAUAUAUUAUUAUUUUCCUUGUAUGAAGCACAAGGUUGUGGCUGACUCUUACUAGGGAAGACAUUGUUUUCUGUCUUGUAUGAAGCCCAAGGUUGUGGCUGACUAUUCAGGAAAUUGAGUAUGGAUGACUCUAUGGGGAAAAGAUCCUAGAGGUUAGGAAUCUUUGACACAGGAAAUGUGAUUUAUCUGCCUUGUACAAAGCCCAAGGUUGUAGCUACUUGAUGAUGAAGGACUCACUGGGGAGACUCUAUUAUCUGCCUUGUACAAAGCCCAAGGUUGUGGCUGGCUCUCUAGGGGGAUACCUAUGAGUAAGGUUUUGACUCUAAAGGGAGUAUGUGCCUUGUAUAAAGCCCAAGGUUGAGGCUGACUUUUUAAUGGAGAAAGAUCUACCAGAGUGGGAUCUUUUGACUCAGAGGGGAUUACUCUGUUGAGGAUUAUCCUAAAGGGUUGACCCUACUGAGGAUUGUGCUUUUGUUGAAUGAAAGACCCAGGUUGGAAGAUUGACUCUACUGGGGAAUUUAUUUAGAUGAUUGACCUAAAGUAGACUCUACUGAGAACUUGGUUUUUUAUUGACGAAGACUGACCUUAAGUGAGAUUUAUCUUUUAAAAGUUGAAUUUUUGGAAGCUAACCCUUUCCAGGGAAUUAUGACCUUAGAGGACUGAUUUUGGAGGCUAACCCUUUCCAUGGGUUUUGCUUAGCUGGAGAGUUUUAUCUUUUGAAAGCUUUAAAUUUUUGAAGCUAACCCUUUUCCAGGGAAUUUGGAUUUAAAGGAGUGAUUUUGGAGGCUGACCCUUUCCAGGGGUUUUGGAAAGAUGGCAGAAGAAUUAUCUAUUUGAGACUUCUUGUUUAAAGCCUAAGAUUAAGGCUGUCAUUGACUAAGGAUAGACAGAUAUGGGUGACAGAGACUGUCCAUGUCUCUCAUUCCAAAAGGUGUACUCAAUGUGAGAUUGAGACAUUCUUAGCUUGUUUAAAGUCUGGUUUGAAGAGUGGAAGAAACUCACCAGGGUAGGCUAAAAGGUGACUAAAGACCUGUUCCUAUGUUUAUAAGAAACCUGAUGGGUCCUUGUAUACAAGCUCAAGAGUAAGAUGGGAAUGCUUUUAAGAAGCCUGUGGGUCCUUGUACAAAGCCCAAUAGGAGGCUAAUCGAGGGUCCUUGUUAUAGCACAAGAGAAAGCUAUGUUGUUUUGAACUUAUUUUGGCUUUAAGCAAAUGGGUAAGAGGUUUCACCGGGAAUAAUUCCUCUUGGGUGGAUGUUUCCUAUUUUUGGGUUCUAAGGCUUUUUCAAGAUGUUUCACCGGGAAUAAUUCAUCUUGAGGGUUUGAACUAAAGAUCUCUAAUUAGGAAAGAGCCUUCACCGGGAAGACAUUCUCAAUCCUAGGUCAUAGUCCUAUAAUAUAUAUAAUUUAACUGUCCUAAGGUUGUACACUCAGACGUAGUCCUAAACAAAAUAUAAACAGUUUAUAUUUGACAGUAAUUUAAAUGAAGACUAUAAAUUGAAAGCUUGUAAAGCCUAACCUGGAUGGAGUGGAGGCCUUUGAAAAUGUAUGUACAAAGCCUUACCAGUAGCUUGGUUGUUUAUUGAUAACAGUUGAAUACUUAUUAUAAACAGUUAAAGGUUUUUUGAAAACAGAAGAAGUGAAGAUGGACAUAGGUCACAUAGGUAUCUAAAGAGUUUCACCGGGAAUAAUGUCCUUCAAAUACCAGAAGAAUGUUUUGAAAACAGAAAGAAGAUUUUGUAAAUACAGUUUUGAAAACAAACUAUGAAAAGAAAGAAGGUGUUGGGUCUUACACUCUAAUAGAGGCCUAGAAAUAUUUAUUUACCGUUCAUAAGAAACAGUUGAUUGAAAUUGAAAUACUGUUGUUAAAACAGUUUUAUUGUCUGUAUUUGAAAAUCAAAAGGGGUUGGGACUUACACUCUAUUAGAGGCCCAAAAUUUAUUUUCUGUUUAUGAAAAACAAUUGAAAAGAUACAAGGUUUUGUUGUCUGAAAACCUGGAUCGUCUGUUUGAUCGGAGAUUGAAAAUAGUUUUGAAAAUUGACAAAAGACAACUUAAUUAAAAUAAAGAUGAAAUCUAUACCUAAUUAAGACCUAAAUGACUUAGGUUUUUAUCACAAAAUUAUUCAUACAAUAAUUAGGUAAAAAAGACAAAUGAAAACGUAUUUUUGAAGUAUUAAGAAAACACUUAAAAUACACCAUUUUAAACCUAAUAAAAAUACAUGAAAUAAAUAAUAUUUUUUGUGAUUUUUUGAUUGUUCAUAAAAUAGAUAUAUUAAUUGACAAGUGUGUGAAAAAUGAAAUUAAAAUGAAUGAAUUUGAUAAGUGAAUUAAAUGGUUUAAGUUAUGAAGAAAUUUGAGAAGAAAAGUGGUAAAAAAAAUUGGUUUUGGUCCUAGCAAGGCUUGAACCCACGCCCUUGAUAACCACUUCAAAAAACCUGACCAACUGAGCUACGCGUUCAAUUUGUAAUAUCAUCACCACGAAUUAGUUUUAUUUUAAAAAAGCACCCAGGAGAUUCAAAUUUGCGCGCCACCAUAGUCAUCUUCUUCCUUGAGCUCGUGAGAAUUUGAAUUUGCUAACUCUCUGGUUUCUCAACCAAAUGGUAUGAUGUAAACAUCAAUCUUGCUCGUUUGUAGACGAGGAACAUGACUAUGGGUUCAGAAUUUAUUUAUUCUAAGUGUAACUAAGGAAUUUCAGUAUGAACACAAAGAACAUAUAAACCCUAAAUUUAAAAUUAAAUGAUGAACAAGAUGAAUAAAUGAAUGAUGAUAGAGGGUUUUUAAUCCUCUGAUGAUGCUGAACAAACUGGUAUCGAGAUAUAUCAAGAAGAGUACUUAAAUAUGAGUGUUAGAGUUUGAAAAAGAUACCUUUGAAAAUGGAGGUCGACGGCUAUGGUGGAGAACUUAUGGCUAUGGCUGAAUGAUCCUAAAAGCUUCCUUGGGACUCAGUGAUGCUAACUGAAUGCUUAUUGUACCUUGAAUGCUUCAGAAUUUCCCUGCUCGACAGCCUCGAUUUGAGCUUCAAGUGAACAUGGAGCUUGAUGAUUAUGCACUUACAGAUAGGCUGCGACCAUCUAGAUAGCUUCACUACACCCUAAGGAACAUGUUUGGAUGCUUGGACUUGCUUGACACCUCCUGAACUGUGCUACAGACCUUCAACUUCUCGAGCUCCAAAAUGGAAGUGACUAUAGUGUUACUCCACUUACAGAAGUGAUCCAUGUGCUUGGAUCACUUCUAAUGAACCUCCUUGAUGUGUUAGAAGGCUUACUUUCAAAAGAAGAGCUCUGGUUUGAAGAAAUCGAUUCUUCUUGUCAAAGAACUUUUGAAAACCAUAAGCAUGAGGGAGAGAAAGAGAAAGCAAGAAGUAGAGUUGCUUUGGUGUGAUUAAUAUGAAGGAUGACACUUCUAUUUAUAGGCAAAAGGUUCAGAGCAUUUGGAUGUAGAGAGCUUGCUCAGUGAAGUAAGUUUGGUUUCUUAAGCAUGAAGAAAUUCAAAACUAUCCAAAAUGCAAUGAUGGCAUUUUCGAGCAUUCUCCCUAGCCAUUGAUCCUUGCAGAUCUUAGGGAACAUUUCUGAUGUGUAGAAGCUUUCUAUUGGCUUAGGAGAAGAUUCUAAUUGAUGAAUCAUCACUUACCAUAAAUUCCCAAAAGUAAUGAUUACAUAAUCACAUGUUCUUAUUUUGGGAAUAUUCUUCAAUCCUCAUGCCAUGGUGGAAAUGAAUGUAUGGUACCAUUACUGAUGUAUUAUGGGUCAUGUAGCAUCACUUAGUAGAGCCAUUUGCAUAAAUUUGCAAAGUUUCAAAUUAUACAUGACCUAUAAUUUUCCUUCAUGAGGCCAACUUUGAACAAGCAUAACUCUUGGCUCAAAAUGAAUUUGGAGAAGGUUGAGCACAAUUUGGAAAUCCCUAAACAUCUAAUUCAAUUCAUUAGUUUGGGGUUUCUUCAGAAUC